rnacentral:tRNA from 1 species
GCAGGCGCUCAUGCGGUGUGAGGCGCUGCCUGUAAAGCAGUAGCCCGUGGGUUCGACUCCUGCCGCCUGCAC